AAUGCCGGAUGCUCCAGUUGAUCGCAUGGUCUUCUGGGAAAGCUUUCGCGGUAUGGGAUGGGGUCGCGUCCUAUCAGCUUGACGGCGGGGUAACGGCCCACCGUGGCUUCGACGGGUAGCCGGCCUGAGAGGGCGACCGGCCACAUUGGGACUGAGAUACGGCCCAGACUCCUACGGGAGGCAGCAGUGGGGAAUAUUGCACAAUGGGCGCAAGCCUGAUGCAGCGACGCCGCGUGAGGGAUGGAGGCCUUCGGGUUGUAAACCUCUUUUAUCGGGGAGCAAGCGAGAGUGAGUUUACCCGUUGAAUAAGCACCGGCUAACUACGUGCCAGCAGCCGCGGUAAUACGUAGGGUGCAAGCGUUAUCCGGAAUUAUUGGGCGUAAAGGGCUCGUAGGCGGUUCGUCGCGUCCGGUGUGAAAGUCCAUCGCUUAACGGUGGAUCCGCGCCGGGUACGGGCGGGCUUGAGUGCGGUAGGGGAGACUGGAAUUCCCGGUGUAACGGUGGAAUGUGUAGAUAUCGG
rnacentral:rRNA from 2 species